rnacentral:rRNA from 1 species
GGAGGAAAGUAGGGGAUCGAAAGACCUUAUGCUUUUGGAGCGGCCGAUGUCUGAUUAGCUAGUUGGUAAGGUAAUGGCUUACCAAGGCAACGAUCAGUAGUUGGUCUGAGAGGACGACCAGCCACACUGGGACUGAGACACGGCCCAGACUCCUACGGGAGGCAGCAGUGGGGAAUUUUGGACAAUGGGCGCAAGCCUGAUCCAGCAAUGCCGCGUGAGUGAAGAAGGCCUUCGGGUUGUAAAGCUCUUUCAGUUGAGAAGAAAAGAUUGUGACUAAUAAUUGCAAUUCAUGACGGUACCAACAGAAGAAGCACCGGCUAACUACGUGCCAGCAGCCGCGGUAAUACGUAGGGUGCGAGCGUUAAUCGGAAUUACUGGGCGUAAAGGGUGCGCAGGCGGUUAUGUAAGUCAGAUGUGAAAUCCCCGGGCUUAACCUGGGAAUGGCGUUUGAAACUACAAGGCUAGA